rnacentral:rRNA from 1 species
AUACGGAGGGUGCAAGCGUUGUUCGGAAUCACUGGGCGUAAAGGGCGCGCAGGCGGUUUUACAAGUCAGAUGUGAAAGCCCACGGCUCAACCGUGGAAGUGCAUUUGAAACUGUAAGACUAGAGUAUCAGAGGGGAAGGUGGAAUUCCCGGUGUAGAGGUGAAAUUCGUAGAUAUCGGGAGGAAUACCGGUGGCGAAGGCGACUUUCUGGCUGAAUACUGACGCUGAGGCGCGAAAGCGUGGGGAGCAAACAGGAUUAGAUACCCGAGUAGUCC